rnacentral:tRNA from 1 species
UGGGGAGUGGUGUAACUGGCGAGCACAUGUGGUUUUGGUCCACAGGGACCGGGUUCGAAUCCUGGCUCCCCAG